rnacentral:rRNA from 1 species
CAAUAGCGUAUAUUAAAGUUGUUGCGGUUAAAAAGCUCGUAGUUGGAUUUCUGCUGAGAACGACCGGUCCGCCCUCUGGGUGUGUAUCUGGCUCUUUCUUGGCAUCUUCUUGGUGAACGUUGCUGCACUUGACUGUGUGGAGCGCUACCCAGGACUUUUACUUUGAGGAAAUUAGAGUGUUUCAAGCAGGCAUACGCCUUGAAUACAUUAGCAUGGAAUAAUAAGAUAGGACCUCGGUUCUAUUUUGUUGGUUUCUAGAGCUGAGGUAAUGAUUAAUAGGGAUAGUUGGGGGCAUUCGUAUUUAACUGUCAGAGGUGAAAUUCUUGGAUUUGUUAAAGACGAACUACUGCGAAAGCAUUUGCCAAGGAUGUUUUCAUUGA